rnacentral:lncRNA from 1 species
GACCAAAAAGUUGACUUGACCAAUAAUUUUCAAAUGAUUCUUUUCGAUUUUGCCAUAUGGACAUUAAGGUUAGAGUUCUUCCUAAUGGGGAGAGAUUACUACAAUUUAAGUAGCUUUGCAAGUAUAUGCAACAAUGUCCUGUUGGAAUAAAAUCAAGCAAUAAUGCAGGAUAUGUACCAGGAAACAGUAGAUUUCACGAGCUCAAGUGCUCCUCGUUUAGUGUAUGUAGUUCGUGGGAGGCUUUCUAUUUUAUUACAACAUUUUAGUUAGGGAUUAAUUAUAAAAGAUCAAGGGCU